rnacentral:misc_RNA from 1 species
UCCGGUUUAUCACCGGCAGUCUCCUUAGAGUUCCCACCUUUACGUGCUGGCAACUAAGGACAAGGGUUGCGCUCGUUACGGGACUUAACCCAACAUCUCACGACACGAGCUGACGACAGCCAUGCAGCACCUGUCUCUUCGCUCCUUUCGGCACUCUCACAUCUCUGCAAGAUUCGAAGGAUGUCAAGGGUAGGUAAGGUUCUGC